GUGCAAAUGUGUGUGCAGCACGUGUUGGGAGGCCCUGGCAUUAAUUCUAGGUCCCUCUAUCGUUCUCUAGGGGUGAGCAGCCAACAGGGUGGUGCUUUCUGUACUAGAAGAGUCAACAGCCACAACGCCUCACCCCAACAGCUUCAAAUGACAUGCCGAGAACAGCACGUAGAAUCCCCAUAUGUUUACAUGGUGUCGGUGCCCUUUGAAAAUCUGAUUAGCUCUUUUAAUUACCAUGGACACUUUCAGCACUUAGCUGGCUAUAGAUAAACCACCUGACGGCCAAGCUGUCUGAGCGCUAUGUGGUUCCACCAUACGGAAGCAUCUGAAGAGCUGGCGAAAAAGCUGCCAGCACCCUAGGGGGUAGAGUUCGCGUCUCUGACUGCUGUCCCAUCCCUGCUCCCAGAGAAGUGCCUGGCAUGUAGCAGGGCUGCAGUGUGUCUUUGUGGAUCGAACAAGCCCUGAUAUUUGGGCCAAGCAACCAAAUGCCAGACUGGUGGUCCCACAUAAGUGUGGUGGAGUGGGUCUGCUUAGCCACCC
rnacentral:lncRNA from 1 species